GAUGAACGCUGGCUACAGGCUUAACACAUGCAAGUCGAGGGGAAACGACGGGGAAGCUUGCUUCCCCGGGCGUCGACCGGCGCACGGGUGAGUAACGCGUAUCCAACCUGCCUCUGACUGAGGGAUAACCCGUCGAAAGUCGGCCUAAUACCUCAUGGCAUCGUCUGCGGGCAUCCAACGACGAUUAAAGAUUUCAUCGGUCAGGGAUGGGGAUGCGUCUGAUUAGCUUGUUGGCGGGGUAACGGCCCACCAAGGCUACGAUCAGUAGGGGUUCUGAGAGGAUGGUCCCCCACAUUGGAACUGAGACACGGUCCAAACUCCUACGGGAGGCAGCAGUGAGGAAUAUUGGUCAAUGGGCGGGAGCCUGAACCAGCCAAGUAGCGUGCAGGAUGACGGCCCUAUGGGUUGUAAACUGCUUUUAUGCGGGGAUAAAGUGAGGGACGUGUCCUUCAUUGCAGGUACCGCAUGAAUAAGGACCGGCUAAUUCCGUG
rnacentral:rRNA from 1 species